rnacentral:rRNA from 1 species
UGGGGAAUAUUGGACAAUGGGGGGAACCCUGAUCCAGCCAUGCCGCGUGUGUGAAGAAGGCCUUAUGGUUGUAAAGCACUUUAAGCGAGGAGGAGGGUACUGGUAUUAAUACUACCAGCUACUGGACGUUACUCGCAGAAUAAGCACCGGCUAACUCUGUGCCAGCAGCCGCGGUAAUACAGAGGGUGCGAGCGUUAAUCGGAUUUACUGGGCGUAAAGCGUGCGUAGGCGGCUAAUUGAGUCGGAUGUGAAAUCCCCGAGCUUAACUUGGGAAUUGCAUUCGAUACUGGUUAGCUAGAGUGUGGGAGAGGAUGGUAGAAUUCCAGGUGUAGCGGUGAAAAGCGUAGAGAUCUGGAGGAAUACCGAUGGCGAAGGCAGCCAUCUGGCCUAACACUGACGCUGAAGUACGAAAGAAUGGGGAGCAAACAGG